rnacentral:ncRNA from 1 species
UAAAUUCAUCCGUUCAAUAACUCUAUAAAAUGACUCGUUACAACGUGUUAUCUAGCCUUAUUUUGUCUUGUUUUGCUAGUGCCUGUGACUUGUGUAUAACUCUGUGAUUUAUUUAGUCCGUAGUUUUUGCUAACCCGAUAACUAAUUUCGCAUAAUGUAUAUUAUGUUAAAUUGUAAAAAUGCAAAGUAACUUUAAUUAUAGGUUAUAAAGAGAUUAUUUCUCCUCUCUUAAUUAGUUAUACUUAAUCAAAUAAGAUGAACGAGUAAAUUAAUUUAGA